AUAUAAAAAAGAAGAUGUGGUAUGAUUGCCAAUGAGACAGCUAUCCACAAAAGACCAAAAUGACACAAACAUUAACAACUAUAGGUCACCGUACGGUCUUCAACAAUGAGCAAAGCCCAUACAGCAUAGUCAGCUAUAAAAGGCCCCGCUAAGACAAUGUAAAACAAUUCAAACGAGAAAACUAACGGCCUUAUUUAUGUAAAAAAAUGAACGAAAAACAAAUAUGUAACACAUAAACAAACGACAACCACUGAAUUACAGGCUCCUGACUUGGGACAGGCACAUACAUAAAUAAUGUGGCGGGGUUAAACAUGUUAGCGGGAUCCCAACCCUCCCCCUAACCUGGGACAGUGGUAUAACAGUACAACAUAAGAACGAACUAUAAAAAUCAGUUGAAAAA
rnacentral:lncRNA from 1 species